GAUUCGGUGAUCGUUCUGGGCUAUAGCGCUACCGGUGGUAAAGUAGAAUAUUUUAUUAAAAGUUUAAACUUAAAAACAUGAACGUCUGUAGAGUGUAUGACUAUUGUGGUAUGACCACUAUGACUUGUUAUUGAGUCCGUGUAACUGUGUAAGCGAUCUACGGCCAAGUCUUUCGCAAUCGUGGUUCUGAAGUUGGUACAUUAUGGUCUGGUAGUCCUAGAUCCGAGAAAGUACACCUAUAUAGGAGCUAGUUUUUUAAAUAUUGCAUUUUAAACAAGGAGAAACGAAUAUUUUUAUGUUUGGUUGACAUUGGUUACAAAAAAUGAAAUAGUUACCUAUUAUGAUAAUUCGAUAUAAUUUUAGACCUGUAUUUUGUACUUGCUCAAAACACUUAAAAAUGACUUCAAAAAUUGUGUAGCUUGGACAUUAAACUACGGAGACCCGGAGUACCCGGAGGCAGAGUAAAUCCGCUGGCAUUAUUAUUCAUUUGCGAUGGGCGACACCGUACACGAAUACACGUUAAACUAGACACCCAGUUAAUAAUAAAAUAUUUAAAUACUAAAUGUAAAAUUACCUGCUUAUUAUUUAUUUCAUGAAUUCAUGAAAAAAUAUUAUGUAUAUGAUACAUAUCAUGUAUCUAUGAUCGGACUAUGACUAUCGGAACAUAAACUGGCGACUAUGUUAAAGGUGAGUGGAGUGGUCAGUAGGUAGUGACUAGUGGACUAACGUUAGUAGAAUACCUACCUACUACUUACUCUGAACUCAAAUACCUGCUGAUCGGAUUUCAGUGUAUUUUUUUUUUUUGAAUACUUGACAUAAUGAUUUCCAAGAUACAAAUGUGUUAAACUGUUCUAAGUACAUCAACAUACACUUUGCACAACACGAACAAACAAAAAUAAUACUAAUCUAUUAUAAUGAUUCAUUUUUCAUACUGUACAAAAGAACAUUCUGAAACAAAUCUCUAAACAGGCUCGACCAAUUAUUGAUUUUGUUUCAAAACUUAGCAGACAUAACUCUAUUCAC